rnacentral:rRNA from 1 species
GAGGAAUUUUCCGCAAUGGGCGCAAGCCUGACGGAGCGACGCCGCGUGAGGGAUGAAGGCUUUCGGGUUGUAAACCUCUUUUGUGGGGGAAAAAGAUGUUCAUGAUAACACCAUGAGCAUUUGAUGGUACUCCAUGAAUAAGCCCCGGCUAACUACGUGCCAGCAGCCGCGGUAAUACGUAGGGGGCGAGCGUUGUCCGGAGUUACUGGGCGUAAAGGGCGUGUAGGCGGUUGGAUAAGUCUGGUGUGAAAUCCCGUGGCUCAACCACGGAAUUGCGCUGGAAACUGUCUGACUGGAGUUCGGUAGGGGUCACUGGAAUCCCCGGUGUAACGGUGAAAUGUGUAGAUAUCGGGGGGAACACCUGUGGCGAAGGCGGGUGACUGGGCCGCAACUGACGCUGAUACGCGAAAGCGUGGGGAGCAAAC